GAUGAACGCUGGCGGCGUGCCUAAUACAUGCAAGUCGAGCGAACGGACGAGAAGCUUGCUUUUCUGAUGUUAGCGGCGGACGGGUGAGUAACACGUGGAUAACCUACCUAUAAGACUGGGAUAACUUCGGGAAACCGGAGCUAAUACCGGAUAAUAUUUUGAACCGCAUGGUUCAAAAGUGAAAGACGGUCUUGCUGUCACUUAUAGAUGGAUCCGCGCUGCAUUAGCUAGUUGGUAAGGUAACGGCUUACCAAGGCAACGAUGCAUAGCCGACCUGAGAGGGUGAUCGGCCACACUGGAACUGAGACACGGUCCAGACUCCUACGGGAGGCAGCAGUAGGGAAUCUUCCGCAAUGGGCGAAAGCCUGACGGAGCAACGCCGCGUGAGUGAUGAAGGUCUUCGGAUCGUAAAACUCUGUUAUUAGGGAAGAACAUAUGUGUAAGUAACUGUGCACAUCUUGACGGUACCUAAUAAGAAAGCCACGGCUAACUACGU
rnacentral:rRNA from 1 species